CAACGUGGGUAACCUGCCCAAGAGACUGGGAUAACACCUGGAAACAAAUGCUAAUACCGGAUAACAACACUAGACGCAUGUCUAGAGUUUAAAAGAUGGUUCUGCUAUCACUCUUGGAUGGACCUGCGGUGCAUUAGCUAGUUGGUAAGGUAACGGCUUACCAAGGCAAUGAUGCAUAGCCGAGUUGAGAGACUGAUCGGCCACAUUGGGACUGAGACACGGCCCAAACUCCUACGGGAGGCAGCAG
rnacentral:rRNA from 1 species